rnacentral:rRNA from 5 species
AGAGUUUGAUCCUGGCUCAGGAUGAACGCUGGCGGCGUGCCUAAUACAUGCAAGUCGAGCGAACGGACGAGAAGCUUGCUUCUCUGAUGUUAGCGGCGGACGGGUGAGUAACACGUGGAUAACCUACCUAUAAGACUGGGAUAACUUCGGGAAACCGGAGCUAAUACCGGAUAAUAUUUUGAACCGCAUGGUUCAAAAGUGAAAGACGGUCUUGCUGUCACUUAUAGAUGGAUCCGCGCUGCAUUAGCUAGUUGGUAAGGUAACGGCUUACCAAGGCAACGAUGCAUAGCCGACCUGAGAGGGUGAUCGGCCACACUGGAACUGAGACACGGUCCAGACUCCUACGGGAGGCAGCAGUAGGGAAUCUUCCGCAAUGGGCGAAAGCCUGACGGAGCAACGCCGCGUGAGUGAUGAAGGUCUUCGGAUCGUAAAACUCUGUUAUUAGGGAAGAACAUAUGUGUAAGUAACUGUGCACAUCUUGACGGUACCUAAUCAGAAAGCCACGGCUAACUACGUGCCAGCAGCCGCGGUAAUACGUAGGUGGCAAGCGUUAUCCGGAAUUAUUGGGCGUAAAGCGCGCGUAGGCGGUUUUUUAAGUCUGAUGUGAAAGCCCACGGCUCAACCGUGGAGGGUCAUUGGAAACUGGAAAACUUGAGUGCAGAAGAGGAAAGUGGAAUUCCAUGUGUAGCGGUGAAAUGCGCAGAGAUAUGGAGGAACACCAGUGGCGAAGGCGACUUUCUGGUCUGUAACUGACGCUGAUGUGCGAAAGCGUGGGGAUCAAACAGGAUUAGAUACCCUGGUAGUCCACGCCGUAAACGAUGAGUGCUAAGUGUUAGGGGGUUUCCGCCCCUUAGUGCUGCAGCUAACGCAUUAAGCACUCCGCCUGGGGAGUACGACCGCAAGGUUGAAACUCAAAGGAAUUGACGGGGACCCGCACAAGCGGUGGAGCAUGUGGUUUAAUUCGAAGCAACGCGAAGAACCUUACCAAAUCUUGACAUCCUUUGACAACUCUAGAGAUAGAGCCUUCCCCUUCGGGGGACAAAGUGACAGGUGGUGCAUGGUUGUCGUCAGCUCGUGUCGUGAGAUGUUGGGUUAAGUCCCGCAACGAGCGCAACCCUUAAGCUUAGUUGCCAUCAUUAAGUUGGGCACUCUAAGUUGACUGCCGGUGACAAACCGGAGGAAGGUGGGGAUGACGUCAAAUCAUCAUGCCCCUUAUGAUUUGGGCUACACACGUGCUACAAUGGACAAUACAAAGGGCAGCGAAACCGCGAGGUCAAGCAAAUCCCAUAAAGUUGUUCUCAGUUCGGAUUGUAGUCUGCAACUCGACUACAUGAAGCUGGAAUCACUAGUAAUCGUAGAUCAGCAUGCUACGGUGAAUACGUUCCCGGGUCUUGUACACACCGCCCGUCACACCACGAGAGUUUGUAACACCCGAAGCCGGUGGAGUAACCUUUUAGGAGCUAGCCGUCGAAGGUGGGACAAAUGAUUGGGGUGAAGUCGUAACAAGGUAGCCGUAUCGGAAGGUGCGGCUGGAUCACCU